GCAGCAAUAGUUCAGCGGUAGAAUGUUGGCUUCCCAAGCCGAAGGUCGCGGGUUCGAAUCCCGUUUGCUGCU
rnacentral:tRNA from 1 species